AUUUUCGUCAAGAGCGUCGUAAUCCUCGCGUGCGUGCGUGUAUACUCACGUUGAACUCUGGUCGUGUUGGGUCGGUAGCGUCUGUGUUCCCUGUCCCAAGUUUCGGGGUGCCGUUUCCAGUCUUCGUCGCCGAGGAGUCCGGUUCCUCCACCGCCCCCUCCGCCACCUCCGAGACCCUGGAGACCUUGGAGAGUCUGAAGCGCCUGGAGCGUCGGAGCGCUCGGUCUCGAUCUGACGGAAGGCAAGGAUUCGAAGUCAAGGAUAACGUGCUGGCUGCGGAAAUCGUCCGCCUUGCACGCGGAAGAACCGAUCUCUGCCGUACGCUGGAAUGUAUCUGCUGAUGUUCUUUUUUUCCCAUUCGCUUUUUUCCCUCCUUCAAAGAUCGAACCGCAAUUUAGAUUAAACUUCCGAACGCGGACAAAUAAG
rnacentral:misc_RNA from 1 species